UUUGACCUCGGAUCAGGUAGGGAUACCCGCUGAACUUAAGCAUAUCAAUAAGCG
rnacentral:rRNA from 1 species